rnacentral:tRNA from 1 species
GGGGAUGUAGCUCAGCAGGAGAGUCCUUGCUUUGCAUGUAGGAGGCCCUGCGUUCAAUCCACAGCAUCUCCA